GGAGAGAUGGCCGAGCGGUUGAAGGCGCUGGUCUUGAAAACCAGUGAUGCUGAAAGGCACCGGGGGUUCGAAUCCCUCUCUCUCCGCCA
rnacentral:tRNA from 1 species